GAUGAAGAACGUAGCGAAAUGCGAUAAGUAAUGUGAAUUGCAGAAUUCAGUGAAUCAUCGAAUCUUUGAACGCACAUUGCGCCCGCCAGUAUUCUGGCGGGCAUGCCUGUUCGAGCGUCAUUUCAACCAUCAAGCCCUGCUUGCGUUGGGGUCCUGCGGCUGCCCGCAGGCCCUGAAAACCAGUGGCGGGCUCGCUAGUCACACCGAGCGCAGUAAUACAUCUCGCUUUGGGCGUGCGGCGGGUUCUUGCCGUUAAACACCCCCUUUUUACCAAGGUUGACCUCGGAUCAGGUAGGAAUACCCGCUGAACUUAAGCAUAUCAAUAAGCGGAGGA
rnacentral:misc_RNA from 1 species